ACUCUGACGGCGAUGGCGUCUCAAACGGACAAGAAAUGGGCGACCCGUGCUGUGUGUGGAAGGUCGGUGACGUCCCGGCCAU
rnacentral:ribozyme from 1 species